rnacentral:lncRNA from 1 species
AAUUUUGGUCACUGCUUGGGGGAUUAUUCAUUCUUACAAUGGUAAAGGUUGUCCGGAGCGAGUUUCGUCACACAUAAAAGUUUGAGCUUUGGCCUAGCACAACUCAGCACAUGUCAUAGAUUCGACUUUUGGAUUUAAAAAAAAAGAAUCAUUUUUUUGAUGUUUUGUUUGAUUUUUUUUUCAAAAACGAAAACGGCAAAGCGAGCACAAUUCGAGGACAACUCAGCACAAGUCGCAGAUCUUCGAAUAACGGUACGGUAAGGGAAACUAAAUACGGCACAAGUUAGCACAAAUUGAGCACAAUUCAGCACGAUUUGGAAAAAGUUGAUAUUCGAAAAGUGCUGGGCUGGUCGUAAUUUGGUUUUUUCAAAAUUCCUGGAAAACUGUCGAGGUUGAGAUAUCAAGUUUUACGACACAAGUGAGCACAAAAGGAGCACAACUCAGCACAAUUUUUAAAAAUAUUAAUUUCGAAAAGUGCUGGGCCAAGUUCACCCACAUAAUGAUUGAUCCUGUUAGCUUGUAUAUCGAUCAAUAAGAAGUGGUUCUGUGGUUUCUUCCCAUAAAAGUAUAAGAAUACAGCAGAGGAGCUGUAAGCUUUCGUGCAAGCAGAAGUGUCUCCUUACUAGAGAAAGAAAAUCAAGGUUUUCGAAUGCCACCGGUGAGAAAAGGAUUAUUGUCUUUAUAUUGAAUGUGCAGUUACUGAGUAUGUGGUGUAAACGUUAAUAAGGAAUUGCGUCAAAUUAGAGAUGUUCAACAUUUAUGAAUGGAAAUGAAAAUUUGCGAGAAAAACAACGAAAUGCAUAUGGCACAACCAAUUGCCAGCGUCGUAAUGAGGGCGUAGAAAUAAUUCAAGCAUGUUUGAUACUUGUAAAGGACAAUGGCGCAAUAUUUCAAAGAAAUCCGAAUCAAACAGACGCAAUGCAUCUAUUAGCAUAAGCAUCAUAAGCAUCAUAAGCCAGCGUGAUACAAAAAUUCUCUUCAACUCUAUUUUCCUCAUUACUGAGUAGUGCGUGUUGGCCUUGCUGUGGCGUCAAAGUUGAAAAAUGGUGAGUGUGCGCUUUCAAUAUUAAUUUUGGUAGUUGGCUGACAAAGUUUCAGUAAUAUACUCGAGUUGGUUGAAUUAGUUUAGAGCCGUAGUAGAGGACUGAUAAAUGGCUCGACAAUGUUACAUUAUUGAAUGAGUCAAGCAACUAAAAGCCUAUGGAUUUAUUCUGUGCAUCAGGGGCUUCAUAUUUUGGUCCAAGUAAACACCUUUAUAAAUUUGAACAGAUUCUGUGAUCCGAAGGUGUGAUAUUCUGCUUGUUAGUGUCCGUGUUUAUUAUUUUGAUUUACGCCGCAAGGUGCGCUUAUGAUGUCGGGAUGUGAUGUGAAACAAAGAAAAAAGCAGCUUCCGUCUCUUUUUUUUCCAAAUGCGGCGCAUGCGCCGUCGAUCCUAGUUCAGACUACCAUCACCACUGAUAAUUCUGUUCUUUGCAAGACCUAUAUGUAAGACUGUGCUCCUAUGCACGGAACUCUAUAUACACUGGAAUGCGCGCGAUGGGAGUGGGGGCCGGUGAGAGCAAGUUAGUUGUUUCAUACCUUCCGUACUUGUCGCACACAUAACUGCGUUCUGUGCUGCAAAUGUAAGUCAGGUGCUUUGACAGAUCUUGGAAGUGCAUCGAAUUUAGAUAUUAUCAGUGCAUUAUAUGUAUGUAUAAGUCCUUAUGAAACCAAUGAAAGGGAAGAAAAGUAUAUAAUAGAUGUGAGAAGAUAUAAUUCGAAAUUGUUUUAUUCAGUUCUCAGAUAUAUUACUGUCUAAUUAUCUUUAUACAAAUGUAAAUACGUGUCUCGGUAAUUAAUUCAUGUUAAACUGGAAUAGCUGUUUCAUCUAAAUAAAAUUAAUAAAAAUAUAACCAGGUUCAACUGUCAGCAACAGUUUAUGCCGCGCUUGAAGCAAACACCCCAACACACCAGUCAUUUGCUCUGACGGUCAAUGUUUUAUGCGAAAUGGUCACCACAUAUUAGACAAGUGCAGAAGGUAUAAAACACAACUAUCUCUCUCUUAUUGCUGGUCACUGCACUGAACAUAGAUCCGUGUGAUGUAAUAUACCUAUGUAUAGAUCAGUUUGGGGACUUCUUGUAUAUCGCGAACCAUAUGAUCAAUAUUAGAACCAUGGCAUUCAUUUAUAGACAGUAAGUGGGAAACCCUCGCGAUCAAAAAUUUCGAUCAGUUUCCAGACCUGUAUAUAGGACAGGGUCCAAGCCCUACAGAAAGUUCUUAACAAACUGCAUCUUGGAUUUGGAUUAUAAUGAAAGGUCGAAUAAAUUGAAUCUUCCUUGACUAAAAAUGAGAAGAGAAAAAGGCGACCAAUUCCAAUGGUUUAUGCUUCUAACGGGUCACUAUGAUAUGAAUCAGAAGGAGUUUUUCAGGCUAUCAAGGAACAUGCAGCUAUGAGACCAUCGUCUAAAACUUGAGCGCAGUCCACUUAUCAAAAAUCAUUCAUCGAAAAACUUUAUUAGUAAUAGAGUGGUAGCAGUGUAGAAAUCACUUCGAAGUGCGUUUAUUGAUGCAAGCGCAGUCAAUCAAUUUAAAAAUAGGUUGAAUGCUUGUCGCUAUAUGUGUACUCAAGAAAACUGGAUCGGUCGGACAAGCUUUGCAAGUACUGACUAUCAAUCGAACUCAGUUAUAGCUAUUAUAGCUUGCCAGCUCUUGUACAAGCUAUUACAAAUUCAGUAACUCGCUUUUGAAUCAGGCGAAUGGAGCAAAGGAUCCGAGGGUUUAUUUCGAUAGCAGAAUGACAUUUAACAUCUUGACUACGUCGUCUACAAUUCUGUUAGGAAGAUCAACUUCGUCAAGCAGUUCUCUAUAUUAUUCAAGAAUGUUAUUACUUUCAGUACCUUAUACUAUUCACUCAUUUUUCCUGAUUUGCUUUAUAGUUCAAUUACCUAGAGGCCCCGGGCCUCUACUGCUCGACGGCAGUAUGGAAGAACGGGACAUCUCAAAUUGUGCUAGAAAAACGUGACAUUUCAGAUUGCGCCAAAAAAAGGUGACAUAUGAAAUUGUGCUAGAAGAUCGUGACAUCUCAGAUUGUGCCAGAAAAAUGUGACAUCUCAAAUUAUACCAGAAGAACGUGAUAUCUUAAAUUGAGAAAGAAGCAGAAUGAUUGUAGUGAAUUGCUCCGACAGAUCAAUCCUAAUUACAAUCAAGAUUCCUGCUCACCUAUUUAUAGGCUUUUUGGUUGUGUAACGAUAACGCUGAUUGGCUGGACAUGUAUAAUUCUACUUUGCCUUCUGUCUCUUGUUAGCCCCGCAAACUAUUUUUGUAUAAUUGGUAGUUGCAAAUGUACUCUUUUUUGUUUAUUACUUCUAGUUUCCUUUCCCAUAUACCACUAUGUAAACUGUUUUUGCUUUUCUUUUUUUAUGAAUGUAAAAGGGUGCUUUACCCGUUGAACAAUAAAUAAAUAAAUGAAUAAAUAAAUGGCUAUCAAGCUAUUAUACUAGUAAAUGAUUCUUUGGAACACGUACAGAAUACUCAAACACCAAAACUUUUUACAAAUUCAUUCAUUCUACGAAAACAAGGAUUAUCUUUCGAAAUUGAACACAUCAGUGAAAUGGAAAUGUAAGUUUUUAAUUUAAGAUCGUAUAUGAUUAACCCAAUCAGUGUAAGGGGGGGGUCGAUUCGAUCCAGGUCGGAAUCGCAAACCCCCCCUCCUAUUCUGAAACUAACCAAGAGGACAGGCGUGCACCCCUACUUCAAGAAUCGUACUCUCAAGUAAAAAUCUCACAUUGAGUUUUGAGUCCCCACCCCCUUUCAGUCAGCCAUAGCAAGCGGUCGAAAUUCGGUUUGGGUUAAUUUAACCGCUGUCCCUACUCUUAACAUUUACAUUGUGACAGACAAUAGUUUAUAGUUGAAUAUAUUAUUGCAUAAUUUUUUCUUUUUUUUUUUUUUGUACUUUUUUGUAGAAUGUCACUUAAUAUUAUUCAAAUUAAAUACCGUGUGUACAUGAUUUAGAUUGAAAAAUAGCCAGACGCUUUGGGGGAUAACUUGUAUAUUGUGUAUAUUUUCUACCAAAACCUCCUACAUUCCUAAAAAAAAUUCAUGUAUUCAUAAAAAAAUAAGUGUUCCAAUUUCAUAAAAUUAUCUUGUAAUAUUUUUUUAUUGAAAGGCAGUUUUGACCUUUAAUUUGCAUUUUUACCCAUUCCAUUUCAUACAUUGGUCUCUGAAUUUUUAAUUUUUUAAGAAGACUACGUUUUUUCACGAGUUUAUGUACUUAUUGUUAUUUCUAUGAUAAAUUUAAAAAACAUUUUAUGGCAAAAGUUCAUCAUGAAGUAGAAGCCUUAAGCGUGACACAUGAAUUUUUUCAGGUUUUCAAGAAGAUGGUUUCGAGCCAUUUUGAGCACGAGGUUGAUUCACCUCACCGCCCCGCCCCAC